rfam:TPA: Bos taurus chromosome 23, whole genome shotgun sequence.
UCCCUGGUGGCUCAGAUGGUAAAGCGUCUUGCUUGCAAUGCAGGAGACCUGGGUUCGAUCCCUGGGUCGGGAA